CACUGGCUGACGAGUUGCAAAUAGGACGAAAUGCGCGUUGUCCUGGG
rnacentral:hammerhead_ribozyme from 1 species